GGGUGUGAGAGUGAUCUGGCUAUAACAUCUGUCAUCCCAUUGAUUGCCAGGCUGGCUUCAUUAGUUCUGGCUGGCUAGGCUAGGGUCUCCUUUCUCUCCUACCUUUCUGCAUGCUCUGUCAAAGAGGGCAUGCUUCUCUAGUAGGGUGGAUCAUUCUUCAGAGAAGAGUAUACUUAUUAUCAGAGAAUAACCCAACUUCAUUCAAUCUCUUAGUU
ensembl:misc_RNA 7SK 7SK RNA